rnacentral:hammerhead_ribozyme from 1 species
AUUCAGCUGAUAAGUCCCAAAUAGAACGAAACGCGCUUCCCUGAU